rnacentral:tRNA from 1 species
GCCGGAGUGGCGGAACUGGCAGACGCGGCGGUCUCAAAAACCGCUCCCCGCUGAGGGGGUGGGGGUUCGAGUCCCCCCUCCGGCACCC